CAGCCGCCACGGGAACACGGAGGGUGCAAGCGUUAAUCGGAAUUACUGGGCGUAAAGCGCACGCAGGCGGUCUGACAAGUCAGAUGUGAAAUCCCCGGGCUUAACCUGGGAACUGCAUUUGAAACUGUCAGGCUGGAGUCUUGUAGAGGGGGGUGGAAUUCCAGGUGUAGCGGUGAAAUGCGUAGAGAUCUGGAGGAAUACCGGUGGCGAAGGCGGCCCCCUGGACAAAGACUGACGCUCAGGUGCGAAAGCGUGGGGAGCAAACAGGAUUAGAUACCCGUGUAGUCCCUGUCUCUUAUAA
rnacentral:rRNA from 1 species